rnacentral:rRNA from 1 species
UACGUAGGGGCAAGCGUUGUCCGGAUUUAUUGGGCGUAAAGCGCGCGUAGGCGGCAAGGUAUGUCGUGCGUGAAAUCUCCCGGCUUAACUGGGAGGGCCGUGCGAAACUGCCUGGCUUGAGGUCGGGAAGGGGAAAGUGGAAUUCCGGGUGUAGUGGUGGAAUACGUAGAUAUCCGGAGGAACGACCAGCGGCGGAAGGC